UUGGAGUCGCCUAUUAUUGUGUGCAG
rnacentral:misc_RNA from 1 species